UGUGCAUGCAGAAGAUCAUUAUGAAAACGAUUAUAGAGAUGCGCAUCUAAAAGAUGAAACUGAUAUUGGCACUGAAAUUGGGAAAGAAUCUAAUGAUGGAGUGAAAGUUCAAGAUGGAGUGGAAGUUCAAGAUGUAGUAGAAUGUCAAGAUCAGGGAAAUUCAAAAGAGACAAGAGCAUCAUAAAUAAUUUGUAAAUGUGGAGCGCAAUCUCAGGGUUUAGAAAAUCCAUUGGGAAUAAAUGUAAGUGAGAUUGUAUGCAAAUGUGUUGAAGGAUUAUAUGAUCUCUCUACACCUCUCUCACUUAAAGAGAAAUUUGGAAUUCAAAAUGAUGCCAAUCAAGAAUCUUUUGAAGCUGCAAGGGAAGAAGAUGGAGUGGACUAUCAAGAGACAAGUGGAGGACAAUCUCAAGACUUAGAAAAUACCCAAGGAACAAGCAUAAGUGAGAUUAUUUGCAAAUGUAUAGAAGGAACAUAUGAUCUCUCUACACCUCGUUGUCUUACCGACAAUAUUGGAAGACAAGAAAUGCUACUGAAAAUAAUGAUUUAACUGGCAUGAUCUUGACAAUUG